rnacentral:rRNA from 1 species
GACGAACGCUGGCGGCGUGCUUAACACAUGCGAGUCGAACGGAAAGGCCCUGCUUUUGUGGGGUGCUCGAGUGGCGAACGGGUGAGUAACACGUGAGUAACCUGCCCUUGACUUUGGGAUAACUUCAGGAAACUGGGGCUAAUACCGGAUAGGAGCUCCUGCUGCAUGGUGGGGGUUGGAAAGUUUCGGCGGUUGGGGAUGGACUCGCGGCUUAUCAGCUUGUUGGUGGGGUAGUGGCUUACCAAGGCUUUGACGGGUAGCCGGCCUGAGAGGGUGACCGGCCACAUUGGGACUGAGAUACGGCCCAGACUCCUACGGGAGGCAGCAGUGGGGAAUAUUGCACAAUGGGCGGAAGCCUGAUGCAGCAACGCCGCGUGCGGGAUGACGGCCUUCGGGUUGUAAACCGCUUUCGCCUGUGACGAAUCGUGAGUGACGGUAAUGGGUAAAGAAGCACCGGCUAACUACGUG